CAGCCGCCGCGGUAAUACGUAGGGUGCGAGCGUUAAUCGGAAUUACUGGGCGUAAAGCGUGCGCAGGCGGUAGUGUAAGACAGGUGUGAAAUCCCCGGGCUUAACCUGGGAACUGCGCUUGUGACUGCACAGCUAGAGUAUGGCAGAGGGGGGUGGAAUUCCACGUGUAGCAGUGAAAUGCGUAGGGAUGUGGAGGAAUAUCGAUGGCGAAGGCAGCCCCCUGGGCCAAUACUGACGCUCAUGCACGAAAGCGUGGGGAGCAAACAGGAUUAGAUACCCCAGUAGUCCCUGUCUCUUAUAC
rnacentral:rRNA from 1 species